GUUCUAGGAGACGGCGCCGCUGCCGCGAGGCUCCCAAGCCAAUCAGAAUCCGCCACUUUCCACCUUCACUGACGGCGGAGGGCUGGAGGGCAGCGACGCUGGACACCUAGGAAGCUGACCACCACGACACGUGAUCUUGUGAAGAAACUUGGGGCCUGCCUCUUGGAGAAAGAGAGAAUAUGUUAGAGCCAGAACAAAUCACCAGACAUGUGAAUGAAGUCAUCUUUAAGACACCAGACUCAAUCAAGGCAUACACCUUUCAGUACUGACAAGAAGGCUGGCGUCACAUUUGGGCAAUGUCUCAAGAGCUGUCUGAAGACUCACUGAACAUCAAGUCUGUGAAAACACGUUUCCUUCUCAAUGGAAAUAUAAUCACCCCCUGAUGUUCUUCAAAUGAAACAGAGUUCUGAUCUGAAAAUCAGAUGGUUUAUAGUAUUAGGAAGAAAACAAUAAGUUUGAAAGUAUAAUCAAUUGGAAAGCAAAAGGAAAAGCCUUAGAAAACAUUUAUCUCAAGAACUUGGUGCUGAGGAUAAUCUCAAAUUCAUUUAGUGCAUUUUGUUAAAGAAAAAAAAAACUUGAAAGGAUAAAUCCUUCUUACAGUGUAUUUUUCCUUAUAAAACAUGAACUGAAGUUACUGGUAAUAAACAGUGACUGUUUCAAUGUUAGGGUUCAUUAUUAACAAUGUCAAAACAUGACAGCAGCAAUCUUUAAGAACCCAAAUUAGACCAAGAUAGGACUACAAAAAAUCUGAUGUUUCCAUUGGUAAAGUGCCCCUUUUCUUAUUUUAAAUGAAAAGAAAAUUAAUUAAUCAUCAGCCACUAGCAACCAUCAUUUUGAGAGGUCUUUUAGGGCAAAAAUUGAAUAGUAUGAAGAGGUUUACAAAAAUAGAUUAAGAACUAAUACUGUAAUUUUUUCUCAAUUCAGUUUUGAUAAAUUGUACCUAAUCAUACAAAAUCAUACAAAAAAUACCCCAAAUUCAAACUUGAUAUAAAAAAGGGAGAUAUGAAAUAACUCAGCGAGAUGACAGAUCAGACAAAAUAUAGGAAUGAAAAAAUUUUACACAGGGCACUUAUUUCAUGUCCAGAUGUAAAAACCAUUUUCCACUGACAGCUUACCUUCUUCCCAUAAGCAAUCACAGAUUCUGAGUGGAUCAUGCAGUACAAAGCCACA